GCGGUGUGAAAGUUGGUGACGAUGAAUGCAUUAUAGUUUAUUGAUAAAUUAUCAACUCGAUUAUUACUUGAUCAAUUUAAUUAUUGAUAAAAUAUGCUAAAUUCAUAAUUCUGAUCAUAUUUAGGCUUAACUAGAAACCUCAAUUAGAUUUUAUAGUCAUCAGAAAAAGUUAUGAUGCAUAACAUUAUAUUUUUAUUAUAAAACGUUUUGAACAUUCAGUUAUAAAAUGUUUCAACAUAGUUUUAAAUAGUAUUUAAAAGCAAAAGUGGCCAAGCCGAAGACAGUCAUAUAUGCAUAGGGUUAGUUUAGAUUUUUAUAUAAACAAAAAUAAAGGAAUGGGGUUGGGUUUGUUUUCUUGUAGAUUAUUAAAUUUGUUUUUAAAAUAUCAAAUUAAAGGAAAAAAUAAAAACGGUUAUUUAUAAUUUAUAAAUGUGAGAAAACACCUUUUUAAUAUCUACCAACAAAUCAGAACUAAUAUUGAAUUGUCCAAAGGUAGAAGUCAUCAAUCAAGAUAUGAACUCUAACACUAGCUGACCUAAAUAUAACUUUAUAUAUUAUCUAAUUCGUAUACAUUUAAAUGUAUUUAUAACAUAAUAAUCAAUUAAUCAUUACAUUUAUGUGGGGGAAGAACUAGAAUAAGC
rnacentral:lncRNA from 1 species